CACAUAAAGGAUCUUAUAUUUUAUAUAUAUAUAUAUAUAUAUAUAAUCUCUAUAAAGCAUCUCUUGAGGGGAUGCUCAGGUCAAGAAGCUGAACUGACCUGAUACAACCAAUCCAACCAAAGCUGAGUGAUCCCACCCAUCCCAACCACUCUGCCUUCUCCCCCACCCAGCUGGAGGUGAUCCAUGUACUUCCCUUUCCAGUGGAGCUGGAUAUGGACACACAAACCCAUUAAAAAUAUCCUUAUUUCUAACAGUGUGUGAUGCAUUCAGGCUGUGCCCCCAGGCCUUUGUGAGGAAACGAGCAAGGUCACAAUUAACGUGCUGGAACUCCCAGUGCUGGAGCAGGGAAGGAGCAGAUCCUGCCCCAGGAGCAGCCAGCCAUGGCCAUGCUGCAGGAGCUGCAAGUGCUCUGCAGUUCUUCUCACAACAAAUCCCUCAGAUGCUUCAAAUUCCCAGGUCUCCAGGCCCUGGAAAUGCUGUCUUCUGCAGUUUUCCAUAUAAACAUCACCCCCAAUUUCAGACCAAUUUGGCUGAAGGACUGUGUUUGACAGAAAGGUGCAGCUGUAAUCUCUCAGGCCUGGCUGGGGAUGCCAAAUAAAUCCAUACCUUCUUGACAA